ACGAACGCUGGCGGCGUGCUUAACACCUGCCAGUCGAACGGAAAGGCCCCUUUGGGGGUCCUCGAGUGGCGAACGGGUGAGUAACACGUGAGUAACCUGCCCUUGACUUCGGGAUAACUUCAGGAAACUGGGGCUAAUACCGGAUAGGAAUCCUUGCUGCAUGGUGGGGGUUGGAAAGCUUCGGCGGUUUUGGAUGGACUCGCGGCUUAUCAGCUUGUUGGUGGGGUAGUGGCUUACCAAGGCUUUGACGGGUAGCCGGCCUGAGAGGGCGACCGGCCACAUUGGGACUGAGAUACGGCCCAGACUCCUACGGGAGGCAGCAGUGGGGAAUAUUGCACAAUGGGCGGAAGCCUGAUGCAGCAACGCCGCGUGCGGGAUGACGGCCUUCGGGUUGUAAACCGCUUUCAGCAGGGGCGAAGCUUGUGGUGACGGUACCUGCAGAAGAAGCACCGGCUAACUACGUG
rnacentral:rRNA from 1 species